AGAAUGUCUAGGAACGAUCACCCCGGCUGGCAGAGGUUAAGGCCUGACUUCUGCUCCUGGCCGACCCGGGUUCAAAUCCGCCUGCCGGCUCCUCGGGUGUUUGAGGAGAGUUGAAAUGGGAGGUGGCCCCCCAUCAUAUGGACGGUAUAGGACGUGAUAAUAUCAACUUGCGAGCUGACCAGGAACUAAGUUGAUGCGCCGUUGAUCCGCUAGACUUGGUUGGAUGCUGUUGGUGAGUUGCCGAACCCAACGAAUACAUUCUGAAGUCGGAUGGGGUGACGGAUUAGGGCGCCCCUCUAGCAGUGGAGAGCAGGGACUGCCUCGGGAAAGGGGGCCGCUGGCGAAGUUAACCACCCUGUAACAAUAUACA
rnacentral:lncRNA from 1 species